rnacentral:rRNA from 1 species
AUACGUAGGUGGCAAGCGUUGUCCGGAUUUACUGGGCGUAAAGGGAGUGUAGGCGGAUACUUAAGUCAGAUGUGAAAUACCCGGGCUCAACUUGGGUGCUGCAUUUGAAACUGGGUGUCUAGAGUGCAGGAGAGGAAAGUGGAAUUCCUAGUGUAGCGGUGAAAUGCGUAGAGAUUAGGAAGAACACCAGUGGCGAAGGCGACUUUCUGGACUGUAACUGACGCUGAGGCUCGAAAGCGUGGGGAGCAAACAGGAUUAGAUACCCUGGUAGUCCACGCCGUAAACGAUGGGUACUAGGUGUGGGAGGUAUCGACUCCUUCCGUGCCGCCGUUAACACAAUAAGUACCCCGCCUGGGGAGUACGGUCGCAAGAUUAAA